CCAACUCCAGCUGUGGGUGCAGAAGCCCCGGAAGCAGGCGGAGCAGGCCAGGUGCCGGCAGAGGGCGCAUCUCCAGCCGGAAGCCAGAGAGGCUUCCACCUGGCCACGGGGAAAUGCAGGACUGCGCCUCCGUGGCAAGGUUUUAUCUCCCUCGGCUUCAGCUGAUAAACAGCCCCUAUCAGGCGCGUACAUGUGGAAGUCAGAGACAUUGAAAACACACAGGGUUCAAGUGUUUUGCACCACGCGGUGUUUACAGGAAAAGGAAAGCCUGGUAAAAUCCUUCCUUUUCUGAUUCUUUGGCUUGGUUGUUGUCUUUUGGCUCGACACCCACCAAGAGGCGAACCCAGUUUCAGAUAACAGAGCUCUGCAUGUGACAUCUCCUAUCAUACAGGACUUUUGAUGCACAGGUUACAUUUCUGUGUAGUAAUAUCACCAGGCUUAUGCUGACCACAAAUGCUACUUUUCAAUAAGAAGCUUCUCCUGACCCCAAGCAAGGCCCCUAUCCCUUUCCUUGGAUCAUAUAAGGUUCAUGCUGCCUCACUGUUAAUUUCACAUCUGUGUGGAUUCCAGGCCAAAUUAAGAAUCUAAGUGCUCCUUCUUACCAUCUCCUCUAAACCUUCUGAACUACGUGUCGAGAUCAGAGAGAAUCUCAUAGGAUUCAUUCACUUCUUCGAAUGUGGUUUAAAGGACAAGUGAAUCCUGCAACAGCUGAUCUUUAAGGAAGACUUGUCUUUUUCAAAUGAAGAAAAGUCACAUAAGGACGCAGGGAGAAGUCAGCUAUCUGCAAGCCAGGAAGAGCUUCACUAGACUCUAACCCUGAUGGCACCUUGAUCUUGAACUUCCAGCCCCCAGAACUGUGAGAAAAUAGUUACCUGUUGUUUAAGCUACCUUAUCUGCAGUAUUUUGUUAUCGCUAAGUUAACUAAAACACCCCUUUGGGGGAACCUAGUGGCUCAAUCAGUUAAGUGUCCAACGCUUGGUUUCAGCUCAGGUCAUGAUCUCAGGAUUGUGAGAUUGAGCCCUGUGUCUGGCUCCAGCCUGGG